ensembl:lncRNA
AAAGUUACUCUUUUAAAAAUCUAAUUAGUGCUUCUUUUAUUUUGGAAGCUGAAAACAGUCUAACGAUAGGAGGGAUAUCCUCACAGCAUUUUCAGUUGCGCUUGCCAGUUCUAGAAAAUUCUCAAAUAAGCUAUAGUAAGAGUGAAGUUAUACCGACAAUGUUUGGAAAAAGACAGCUGAGAAUGGAUUCAAGUGUAAAUGUCUUACUAGGAUGGACACUUCCAUCUUCACUACAUAGAACGUCUGUAUUAACUGUGGCAAGGCAACAGAAAUAAGCCUGCAUGUAAUUCCAUUCAGAAAGCAGAAAGGAUUAGAGCAUUUUAGGUUUACGUUCUGCCUGAGCACACAGUUUCUCUAUCCUUUUAAAGAAGUAUGACUUCAUUUAAAUUGCUUGGACAGUAGAAAUGAAUGUAAAAGCAUGACUCAUUUUUUUUGGGAGUCUAGUCAUUUUAUAAACUGGUGGAGGCGGAGGAGUGGAGCGGGUGGGGGGGGGUGUAGUUCCAUUGUUGGUUCUAGCCUGACUUCUACUCCAUGCUCACACUUAAGAGUGAGAUUUGCCUAGUAUUACAGUACCAAACAGGGCAGUGUAAAGUUUAUGUUCAUGAAGUCUUCAUGUAGUAGGCUUGAACAGUGGGUCAGUGACCAGUCAGACAGCUUAUGUAAAUGUAUGUACACUGUGAUUUUUAUUUGAUGACUUCUGUGGAGUUGGCCCUGUCUCUUCUGCUGUCUUCUGGUUGACAAUGUUUUUUUUAUUUUAUUUUCGAGCUGAUAACAGUUGCAACAUUAUACACUGAAUAAUCAGAAAUGUCCUACUUCACAUAUUUACACUGAGGACUGGACAAUCAGAAGCACCAUCUCCUGCAGUAUGUAAGUGGAUUAUUUAUUUAUUUAUUUAUUUAUUUAUUUAUUUAUUUUUCUUUUUAAUGUCAUGAUGAAGUGAUGAAGUAUUCUAUUUUGUUGUUGUUGUUGUUCCAUAUAUCUAAUUCAAAGCCUACUUCCAUGACCAAAGAUGCCUUGUUAAAGCUGGGAUAAGCAAUAUGUUAUUCAAGAGGCCUUAGAGAGAAGUCGACUCUCUCUCCUCCUUUGGGCUCUACUUUCAGACUUGAGGAAAAAUGUAGUGUCAGGCUGGCCAAUUACAGGUCUUUUCAGACCAGAUCAGAUGAGUAAAAUAAAGAAGUAUAAAGAAUACAAAUGGAAUAAAGAUAGUCGCACACUGGGUUGAACAUUCUGUGAAGCCAAUCGCAUCGGCUUUAUUUUCACAUAUAUUAGACAUGCUUGUUUGAUGGGAGGGAUUUAGGAGAGAGGUGUCUAUAUAUGAAAU